CAUUGUUUUGUUGCUUACUUUAUUCUGCUAAUUCAUUGUGCUUGUCAUCUUGCUCUCUUCAUACUUUGCUCAUGUUGCCAUUUCCUGUAUAGUGGGCAGCGAUUAAACACACUAAAAGGCACUGUGGUGUCCUAUCCACCGGUACCUUGUAUGUCUCAGCCCAUCUUUCCCCCUUCGCGAUUAGCUCUUAAUGUGAUUUAUAUGCCAUCCCCAAUCAUUAGCUAAAGCUUAAAGGAAAACUAUAGGGUCAGGGAAAAAAAAACAUGUAUUUCUGACACUAUAGUGUUAAAACCACCAUCUGCCUUUUUGUCGCUCUAGCCAAAAAAAAACACCCUUUACCACCCCAUUCGCUCUACAGUGGUCAUGUAGGUUUAAUCCCUCAAGUUAAAACAUUGCCUUACCUUGAAGGGUUAAACAAGCCUCUAGUAGCUGACAGCCACUAGAGAUACCUCUGCUAAAAUGCCAUGUUUAAUUAUGAGAAGUGUUGGAAGUGCAUAGCGUUUGCCACUUAUGCGCCUGUAUGAGGAACAUUAGAUUGGAC